UGGGCAGGGAAUAUAUCGGCAUUGUGCUAUGAUUAAUGCACUAUGUUUCGAAGAGUGCUCUGCAAAAGCAAUGCUAGAAAGAUAUGCAGUUCUGUUUUAAUUUUGAGUAUUAAACCUGUCCAUAAUCAUCAUCCCGACAACA